UUUCCUACGGGAGGCAGCAGUAGGGAAUUUUCCACAAUGGGCGAAAGCCUGAUGGAGCAACGCCGCGUGCAGGAUGAAUGUCUUCGGAUUGUAAACUGCUUUUAUAUGUGACGAUAGGGACGGUAGCAUAUGAAUAAGAUCGCAUCGUGG
rnacentral:rRNA from 1 species